AUUGAACGCUGGCGGCAGGCCUAACACAUGCAAGUCGAGCGGCAGCGGAAAGUAGCUUGCUACUUUGCCGGCGAGCGGCGGACGGGUGAGUAAUGUCUGGGAAACUGCCUGAUGGAGGGGGAUAACUACUGGAAACGGUAGCUAAUACCGCAUAACGUCGCAAGACCAAAGAGGGGGACCUUCGGGCCUCUUGCCAUCAGAUGUGCCCAGAUGGGAUUAGCUAGUAGGUGGGGUAACGGCUCACCUAGGCGACGAUCCCUAGCUGGUCUGAGAGGAUGACCAGCCACACUGGAACUGAGACACGGUCCAGACUCCUACGGGAGGCAGCAGUGGGGAAUAUUGCACAAUGGGCGCAAGCCUGAUGCAGCCAUGCCGCGUGUAUGAA
rnacentral:rRNA from 1 species